rnacentral:rRNA from 1 species
UCAGGAUGAACGCUAGCGGCAGGCUAACACAUGCAAGUCGAGGGGCAGCGCGAGUAGCAAUACUUGGCGGCGACCGGCGCAAGGGUGCGUAACGCGUGAGCAACAUGCCCGUAUCAGGGGGAUAAUCCAGGGAAACUUGGUCUAAUACCCCAUAGUAAUUUUGUAAGGCAUCUUAUAAGAUUUAAAGCUUUGGUGGAUACGGAUUGGCUCGCGUGACAUUAGCUGGAUGGUAAGGUAACGGCUUACCAUGGCUAUGAUGUCUAGGGGUUCUGAGAGGAAGGUCCCCCACACUGGAGCUGAGACACGGUCCAGACUCCUACGGGAGGCAGCAGUGAGGAAUAUUGGACAAUGGAUGGAAAUCUGAUCCAGCCAUGCCGCGUGAAGGAAGAAGGUCCUAUGGAUUGUAAACUUCUUUUGUAUGGGAGCAAUAAGGCCUACGAGUAGGUUGAUGAGAGUACCAUACGAAUAAGCACCGGCUAACUCCGUGCCAGCCGCGGC